GGGGCGUGGUCGUAUCAUCCCCUCCCUCUUUAAAGCGAUUUGUCCUCAAAUCGGGCCACUUGCUCGAAAAUUUUUUUUUCAAGUUCUCAAAAGCUUUUGUUCAUGAUCCGAAUAAAAUUAUUUCCAAAACUUUGAAAAUCACAAAUGGUUCGAGAAAGAAUUGAAUUAUUUCCACACCCUCCCUCUUUUGGAGGGAACCAUUCCGAAGUGUCACCUACACAAAAAUUAAAUAGAUUAGUGACACCAUGGUCUAUAUUAAGUUCACAAGAACUUCUUAAGAUCUUAUGCAAAAAUUG
rnacentral:lncRNA from 1 species